GCCAAGGGUGGCUACCCUAUAGUGGACAUGGCGUCUACCCGGUAAGCGGAACACUGUGGGUUCGAUUCCCAUCCCUGGACA